UACAGAGGUCCCAAGCGUUAUUCGGAAUUAUUGGGCGUAAAGGGCGCGUAGGCGGCUUUUCAAGUGACGGGUGAAAUCCCUCGGCUUAACCGAGGAACUGCCUGUCAGACUGGAAGGCUUGAGACCGGGAGAGGUGAGUGGAAUUCCCAGUGUAGCGGUGAAAUGCGUAGAUAUUGGGAGGAACACCAGUGGCGAAGGCGGCUCACUGGACCGGAACUGACGCUGAGGCGCGAAAGCGUGGGGAGCAAUCAGG
rnacentral:rRNA from 1 species